UCUAUCCUGAGUCGGAUCUGCUCAGUCGAAAGAGAUGGAGGCACAGCCAAAUUCUCAGUGACCACUUUUGGAAACAUUUUGUGCAUGACUUCCUGCCUACAUUACAACCGCGUCAAAAGUGGAAACAAGAAAGAGAUAACAUCACAGUUGGAACUGUAGUCCUCAUAGCUGACGAGCAAUUACCCAGAGCACUUUGGCGUGUUGGUACUGUUUCAUCAAUCAUUCCUAGUCCUGAUGGUAGAGUUAGAACAGCUGUCAUUAAGGUGAAGGAACACACCUACACUCGACCAGUUGCCAAAUUAAUCAGACUACCCGCUUUACCACAAGAUACAGAUGUCAUACAGUAAAUAUGCUGUUAGCAAAUUUGACUACCAAAUUUGGGGGCGGCUGUAAAAAAGCCAUUGCUCAGUUUAUGUACAUUUAAAAUAGGUUUUGUAUGACGAUUAUUUCAUCUCUCAUUUAGAAGGAAAGGUGUGGCAUAUUUAGUGAGUCGCGCCACCGCGAAUCAGUUCAGUUAGGAAUCAACCAAAUCAAGCAAGCGUUCGCGAAUCAGUUCAGUUCAGUUCAAAUCAACCGAAUGAUAAAAACGAAAGUGAAUCCGUUCAGAAAGGCGAUGUGAAAAGCAGAGGUCCUACAAUCUCAUCUUUAACGGCGUAAAACAGUAAAUUAUCUACUCGUUCUGUAGCACCUUCACUUUGUGAACUGCAGAAGGGUGUAUGAUCAUCUGGAUUGACAGCGGAUGGGUUUUAAUAACGCUUAUAGACGGUGCCGAAGUCUCGCUCGUGACGAUCCUUGCAAGUGCGUCAAUGAAGAAAAACCACAUGUGCAAGAGUUGUAUGAAGCAGCAUCAUAACUAUUCAGCAACAUCCAGUACUGGCUGAAAUUCCUGCCCUUCUCAUCGCGGGAGGAUUCAUUGUGCACCAACGGCCCUGAGACUGUAGCUAAAAGACUAGCUUCAUUCGACCUUUUAUAAUAGUUUUCUUUACUAUUGAUUAGUAAGCAAUCAGCAUUAUUCUGUACAUCCUAUUGUGAACCUUUAUUUCAUUAUUAGUUGCGCAGGCCUACGCUUUUUUGAUGUAUGUUUUUGUUUCAUUUAAAUAAUAUUGUUAUUUGAGGAUUAAUAUAUUCUAUUUGAGUAAACACCUACAAUUUA